GGCGCGGUGGCGCAGUUGGUAGCGCAUGAGCGACACGCUCAUGGUCGCAGGUUCAAAUCCUGCCCGCGUUG